CGUGUUCUAUAUGUCAAAAUGACUCUCGGCAACGGAUAUCUCGGCUCUCGCAUCGAUGAAGAACGUAGCGAAAUGCGAUACUUGGUGUGAAUUGCAGAAUUCCGUGAACCAUCGAGUUUUUGAACGCAAGUUGCGCCCGAAGCCGUUUGGUCGA
rnacentral:rRNA from 1 species